AUACAGUGACCUCGGGCGGCGGGUCACGUCGGCCGGGCAUGGCUGCAUGGAGCCCGGCCGCGGCAGCGCCUCUCCUCCGCGGGAUCCGCGGGGUGAGCGUGGGCAGGGUCGGGGCUGCUCUCCCCGGGACGGGAGCUGCGGAGGGACCGCGGGGCCGGCGGCUGUCGGGGCUUGAGGACUGGCUCCCGGAGGGCGCGCGCGGCACUGGCAAUGGGGGGCUCCUCUUCCUUUCUCUCAUUCAUUCUUUCAUUCAUUCAUUCACUCAGCGACAACGGCAUUCGAAAUUUCAAGCUCUGGCGCGCUCUAGGGGAGCUCCCGAGCUGGGUGGAGGUUGGAGGUCAGGCGGACAGACACAUGAACAGUCAUAAUACUGCGGGCACAGGAAAAAAAAAGGAUUGAUUUACCGAGCAGAAGACAGGAGUCAUAGCUCAGAGUCAAGGCGUGGGUGCGAGGGACUGCAGCGGGGCCGGGGCCUUGGGAAGGUCGACUGGGCCUCUGACCUUGAUCCUCCUCCAAAUCCCACACUACCGGAGCAGAACCCAAGCAGGGGGCACUUCCCACGCGCUCUCCUAAUCUCUCCCCCUUUCUGAACCAUCCUUUGCUUCAGUUCAUACCAUUCUUUCUCUUAACUUUCAUUUUCCUUCUCCCCUGGUUCUGAACCUGCCUGCCCUGUGCAUGAAGAGAAGUUCUUCCACUGCGGUGACUUUCAGCGUGGACAGUGAUCAUCUGGGGAUGUCAGUUGAUUGUUCCACUAAAGGCCGCUGCCCACAGAUCCGCUAAGAUGAAAGGCUUCUCCCAAGGAUUCUGCAACCCUCACCUCUCUCACCCCUUAGUAGCUGCCGAUUCUGUCUGCCAUCUGGUUACUCUCUGCCUUUACCCUCAAGGUUCUGCCCCCAGAAGCAGCUCCACCCCACCCUCACUCCUGGCAAUCCUGUCCAGCCUCUCAACAUCGAGUUUCUGUCCCUCCACACAGCAGGCAGAUAAUCACACUCUGGACCUUUCUCCUGUCCUGCAUUUCUGUCCCUAAUUGACUAGUUCUUCCCCUGCUCAUUCAUUCAUCCAGCACCAAGUGCCUCUGAGGGCCUGCCCUGGGGUCAGCUCUGGGAUGCUGCCGGACUCAUUCCUGGCCUAUAAGACCAGUGGUGAGAGAGCCAGUGCACAGCUCAUUUUAAAGGAGGUGCUCUGAGAUUCUGUGACACAGGACCCUGCUCUGAGCUAUCAGGAAGGACUGAGGGGUACAGGGGUGGGACCUUCAGCACCAGCACCCAUGAACGGCCCUAGCGUCCUCCAACCUGUCAUCCACGUCUAGUCAGGGACCAGUGCCCGGUGCUUCCAUCAUUGUAAUGCCUCUUACUUGGGCAUCUCUCCUGACUCGCUCCAGAAGGCACUGUUUCCUGCAGGUUACUUUGGUCCCAUGAGCCUGGGUUCCAUCACCUGGAGUCCCAUCUCCUGUCCGAUACAGUCCACAAUCUUUAGCCUGGCAUUCAAGGCCUGCCACACUCCAUUCCCAGUCUGCCUUUUCAGCAUGCACUCAGCCCAGCCAAGUGACUGCCGACCUGCUUUUCUGCUCCUUCACUACUAACUGUUGAGACGUGUUCCAUCAGAAACAUGGGCUCCCCUGGCCGGGCGUGGUGGCUCGUGCCUGUAAUCCUAGAAUUUUGGGAGGUUGAGGUGGGUGGAUCACCUGAGGUCAGGGGUUUGAGACCAGCCUGGCCAACAUGGUGAAACCUCGUCUCUACUAAAAAUACAAAAAUUUGCCGAGCGUGGUGGUGGGUGCCUGGAAUCCCAGCUACUCAGGAGGCUGGGGCAGGAGAAUCGCUUGAACCCGGGAGGUGGAAGUUGCAGUGAGCUGAGAUUGUGCCACUGCACUCCAGCCUGGGUAACAGAGCAAAACUCUUGUCUCAAAAAAAAAAAAAAAGGAGACACAAACACAGGUUCCCCCAUGGUAGCCAUUGGGGAAGGGGUGUUGUUGCCAAUGGUAAACAACCUACAGAUAUUCCUUCUUCAGUUUCUUUCAUAGAAUUCUGACUUUGCUCCCAGUGAGAAGGAGUGCAUGAUGAAGGAUAGCUGGCUAAUUGAGCAGUGGGCUGUGAGGUCACAUCCCACUGGGGAGGGCGAGACAUGUUAAUCAGGCCUAAAGGCGAGGGAGUGUGGAAUUUGGCCCCACCAUCCAGGGCAGUGGAUGGCCUAGUGGUAUGGAUCUGAGGCAGGCUGUCCAGCUUUUCUGUAUCUUACCGAAUUCAACCUUGGGCACAUUACUGUGUGCCUCAGUUUCCUUACCUAUCAAACUAUCGGCAUAAUAGUGUCACAACAUUAUAUGGAAGCAAACAUCUCUUGAAUUAGGUUUGGGGCCUCUUGUCUCUGGAGUCAAAUUGAGUUAUCAACAAUCAUCCUGUCCCUGCCAAUAAAAGUUUAUUCUGUGUUUUGGGACUUACAUGGACUCCUGAUACCACAGAGCCCCUCUGACAUAACCCAUGGCUGUGCUGGCGAGGGCUCAGGGGCCUGCCUUGCAGGGGGAAUGGCAGGCGGGCCUGCACAGUGGCCCAGCUCAGGGGCAACAGCAUCUUCCUCUGCCCUGACCUUCCUCUCUGUUCUGUGGCAGCUUCCACUUCACCAUCGGAUGUUUGCCACUCAGACUGAGGGGGAGCUCAGAGUGACCCAAAUUCUCAAAGAAAAGUUUCCACGAGCUACAGCUAUAAAAGUCACUGACAUUUCAGGCACUAAAAGAAGAAAUCAAAGAGAUGCAUGGAUUGCGGAUAUUUACCUCUGUCCCCAAACGCUGACCACGCCCUGGCUGCAUAGAUGCUGCUGCUUAAGACCUUGGAUGAACUUCACUGACAUCAUUCUUCCCUAAGCAGUCACCAAAAAAUUUAUAUAUUUUGCUCAUAUACAUUUCCAUAUUAUAAUUAUAGAAGAUGUAUAAUCUAUUUAGAUGUUAAUUAAAGGAAACAAACAACUGAAGCUUUUGAAGGGUC
rnacentral:sRNA from 1 species